UACGGGGGGGGCAAGCGUUGUUCGGAAUUACUGGGCGUAAAGGGCUCGUAGGCGGCCAACUAAGUCGGAUGUGAAAUCCCCAGGCUCAACUUGGGAACUGCAUCCGAUACUGGAUGGCUUGAAUUCGGGAGAGGGAUGCAGAAUUCCAGGUGUAGCGGUGAAAUUCGUAGAUAUUGGGAAGAACACCAGUGGCGAAGGCGGGUUGCUGGGCUGACACUGACGCUGAUGCGCGAAAGCUAGGGGAGCGAACGGG
rnacentral:rRNA from 1 species